GCCUUCUCCAGCAAGCCACAGGCUGUCUGCACAUCAGGAGUGGGGUCAGCAGGACGAGUCUGCAGCCCUCGAGACACCUGCAUCCACCUGGUUGCCCAGCCAGCCUAUUCAGUUCCCCAGGAACAUGACGAUCUCCAGAAAGAAAAACUCUGCCUUGGUACCCAUCAGAAAUGACAGAAGAAAGGGAUAUCAAGGCGCCUUCAAGUCCAUCACACCAGACGAUGUAGAUUAUGAUUUCAGUGAGUUACCUUGAAAAACGGAGACUUAACAUGUGACAACUGAGGACCUGAGAAAUUUAAAUGAUGGCAUCUGGCAUGGCCAACGCUCUUCAGGACAUCCAUCUCAUAAGCCACGUGAUAAUUACAAUUUUGAAGACAAGCUCCUGGCGGUUCCUGCCUCCUUGGUUUGUGGCAGCAGAUCUACGACCUCUGCCCCGUCUUUCAAACGAUCUUCUCCCCUCCAUGUCUCUGUGUCCUCUCCUCUUCUUAUAAGGACACCAGUCAUUCAGCUCAGGCCCUACCCGAUAUCCAGGAUGAGCUCAUCAUCCUCAGGUCUUUAAUCACAUCUACAAAGACUCUGUUUCCAAAUAAGAUCACAGUCCGACGUUCAGGGUGGACAGGAACUUUUGGCAGACAUUUGGCAACCCACUACCUCCUCUGCCCUCAAGCUGGGGAUGGGAGAAAUCCACGCAGGAAGUGACCUUCUUGUGCCAGGUGCGACCUGAAGGGCUGACGUCAGCAGCAGCCAUACAAAGUACACAGACAGUCUUCAUGGCUCAGGCAGACCUGAAUGAUAAUAAUAUUGGAAGAGUCAUCUUCCUCAAAAGUACUUGAUUCAAAGUAAUAAAGUUAAAAAUCAUAAUACAAUUUUUUUGAAAUUGUGAUGUUGAUUUUUUUUUUAAGAUUGGCCCUAAGCUAACAUCUGUUGCCAAUCUCUUUUGAUUUUCCUUCUCCCCAAAGCUCCUCAGCACAUAGUUGUAUAUUCUAACUGUAGGUCCUUCCAGUUCUGCUAUGCGUGACACUGCCUCAGCACGGCUUGAUAAGCAGUGCUAGGUCCAUGCCCAGGAUUUGAACCAGUGAAACCCUGAGCCUCUGAAGCAGAGCGCGUGAAGUUAACCACUCAGCCAUGGGGCCAGCCCCCUUAUGUUGAUUCUUAAAUUCAUAUGGAAGAGAAAUUUUACAAAGUGAAAGAAAAAAUUUUUUCUUUCUUUUCUUCUUUUUUUUUGCUGAGGAAGAUUAGCCCUGAGCUAACAUGUGUUGCCAAUCUUCCUUUUGUUUUUUGCUUGAGAAAGUUUAGCCCUGAGCUGCUAUCUGUGCCAAUCUUCCUCCACUUUAUAAGUGGGUCAUCACCUCAGCAUGGCUGACAAGUGGUAUAGGUCCACACCCAGGAUCCGAACCCAUGAACUGGGACUGCCAAAACAGAGCUGGCUGAACUGAACCACUAUGCUACAGGGCCACUGCUGAAAGAAGAAUUUUGGAAAACCACCCACCAACAAAAUGAACAUGAAGGAGAACAGGACAAUGGUAACAUACCAAAACAUUUCCCCAGUCCUAUUAACAACAAUGGCAGACUAACGUGCUCACAGAAUCAGUCUAUCCACUGAAGCAACCAUUCAGCUGGACAAACUGACAGAAUCAACUGUUCCAGAACUCUGGAAUACAACAAAAACUUACAUCAACCAGAGGAGUGAUGAAUGAAGGAAGAGGUGGCUGAAUUUGGGUAAAACAUUGCAGCAUUUUUGGUUAAUGCAGACACACUACCGUUCCCUGGUUCAGUGGAGGAUGUGAAGAUGGAGCCCAGAUUCCUUGAAUGGCUCCCUGGUGCCAGGGGACAGACAUCAACCUGGUUCUCAAAAUAGGGUGAUUGUGACUGGAUGGCAGUGACCUGUCUGUCGGGUCCCUGAGGGACCGGAGCAGAAGCAGACAGGUAUUUCUUCCCCUCAGGCUGAAAAGAUUUUCCAAGUGGUAGCACGACCUGAUGAAAGAUUUAAAGGUCUAUGCUACUGGGAGACACCUGGGCAAGUGAUGAUGGCCGGGGCAAGCCACAGAUGGACCCAA
rnacentral:lncRNA from 1 species